AAUGAUCUCUGCUCUCGAUCGUCGACAACAGAUUCACUGUUAACGACUAGCUAUCGCCUUUUUUACAGUCAGAUCCAGCAAUCGCCCAGCUAAACCAUGAACAAGAAAAUAUUCCUGAUUGCCUUUCUUUUUCUGGCUUUUUGCACUGGGGAACUAAUGGCUAGAAAUAUGUUUAGGCCCAACAGAGAAACGCACGAGCGUCCAAAGCGAAGUGGUUGUAAUUUAUACAGCCCCUGUAGCGAUGAGAUGCCCUGUGAGCUGGACGACUGCAACGGAACACCCAUUGCCUGUUAUGAAGGGCAGUGCAUCCCUAUUGAUUCUGAUCCAUACAAGAAAAAGCGAAGCAUCGACUUUCCUCAAGAUAUCUGAACAAACGUGUUUUAUCCACGGGUACCUGGCCGCACUGAGAAACCGACAAAUGAAGACAUCAAUCAGUUUACGUCAUGCAAAAAAAAAAUACACAGUUAUGUUUUAACGGACAAAACAUGUCAGUUGCUGCAAAAGCUAUUAUUUUCAGUUUAUUUCUAUGUAGAUAGCUACUGAAGUUAAAAUGUUUGAUAUCAUUGACAUAAAGCAAUAAAAUUGUUUGAAUCUGAAA